CAUCUACCCUUAAGUACGGAAUACCGGCGAGAAGUCGGCGACAAUACCGCAUACGCUUCUUUUCACAAAGAAGGAAAGCUCGCAAGGGCGCUUGAGGAUGACCCUGCGGCUGAUUAGCUAGUUGGUGAGGUAAUAGCUCACCAAGGCGACGAUCAGUAGCUGGUCUGAGAGGAUGAUCAGCCAGACUGGGACUGAGACACGGCCCAG
rnacentral:rRNA from 1 species